rnacentral:rRNA from 1 species
UACGUAGGGUGCGAGCGUUGUCCGGAAUUAUUGGGCGUAAAGAGCUCGUAGGCGGUUUGUCACGUCUGCUGUGAAAUCCCGAGGCUCAACCUCGGGCCUGCAGUGGGUACGGGCAGACUGGAGUGCGGUAGGGGAGAAUGGAAUUCCUGGUGUAGCGGUGGAAUGCGCAGAUAUCAGGAGGAACACCGAUGGCGAAGGCAGUUCUCUGGGCCGGAACUGACGCUGAGGAGCGAAAGCGUGGGGAGCGAACAGG